rnacentral:lncRNA from 1 species
AAGAACAAGUUGCAUAAAUAUUGAAAAAUAGGAGUUUAACAAUGGAGUUUUAAAUCUCCCAAUUCAUCACAAAACUGAAAUUUCCCAAUUUCAACUAGAAAAGGAGUUUAGCCAUUCAUGGUGGACAAAAAUACACAAAAAGAAGGAAGAAAAAUAAAAGAAGAAGUUGUUGUGCUACUGCUGAAUUUCUACAGUAUUUCCGAUGAUGCCUGCUGGUUUUGGUGCUGUCCCUUUUAUAGGUGGAGAGUCCUAAUUCAUUUAGGACUUGGGAUCCUUCUUUGAAUUGGACUUCGAGAUGGCCUUUUAAUUCCUUCUUGCUUUUGUAUUUUAUAAUGAAUAGAAUUCAUUUGGUGAAGGAUUUUCUUUGGUGUGACUUUUGGAGUUGUCAAAUGAUUGAUCUUGUAGUGUUUGAAGUAGGAUAGGACUUUAAUGCUUUUGAAAUUUAAAAUUUUCCUUUUUCCCGCGUUGUUGUCCUCCUCUGCGUCAGUUUGAUUUGGGCAGUGAUUUGCCCAAAUCGCUUGCUCAAAUCAUUUCUGCAAGUCAGUCCCAGUUUCCUGCUUUAGCUUUCUGCGAGUGAUUUGGCCAAAUCACUUUAACCCAAUCAAUUUUCCAGCUUUUUCUGCACUUUGUCUCCAACUUUUCAUUUUCUUCCUUUUCUACAAAACAUCACAAAAACAUAAAUUAAGCUGAAAAAAUGUGUAAUUAAAUAAUAAUAAAGAUAAUAAAAAUGUGGCUAAAUUAUUUUUGAUCACCUAGCUGCCUCACACUGACACCAGGCCUCGUCUCGCCAAGACACAACUUCAUCCCUCUCUUGCUGGGCUUCCUCCAGAGAGGACAACUGUGCCAAAACUUCAUCACGACGAGACUUCGCUGUAGUUGCCCUCUCGUCAGCCCUCCUAAUGGCGUCUUGUGUCCAAGUUAGCUCGUCAUUAAGGUCCUUCAAGUGACCCUGAGCUGCGGCAAGCUGGCCCUAGACAUCACUUGUAGCUACAAGGUUUUCCUCGUGACGGGCCUCCUCAAUCUGGCGGUCCACCGUGCUCUGGAAUGACCAAUCACGAGCAUCGAUCUCCAUGAAGACACCCAUCAUCUGGCAAAGAGAAAAGGCAACAAAAUUAGAAAACAACGAGAAUAAGAACAACACAAAAAAGGGGGGUGUAACGACCCGGAAACCGGACCGCUACCGGCGCUAGGAUCCAUAUCGACUUAAGGUCGUCGGGACCCGUAGCAAGCCUACUAUGCAUCCUGUACAACUGGUAUAAUCCCAAACAUGAUCAAACAUAUACAUAAAACUUUAAACUUUUUCAUCUACCAAGCUUGACCUGCACAUGCACUAACUCUGUAACCAUAAAACUCCAUACUAGAGCCCUCAUCAAAUGCUCUAGAUGGGUCAUCAUUACAUAUCAAGCUUGGUUCUCAUCAUAUAACAUCAAUAAAACAUUACAUACAGAUCAUGUACAAAAGGGAUUAUCCAUACUCUAGGGCCAAGCACAAUACUAUAUCUCAAUAGACAUAACAUUACAUUACUUAUACAAUACAUGUCCGCUACUCACUAUUACAUACUCUUUACCCUUGCUGAUACCCUGUCUUCUCUCUGGCCCUGAAAACAUGGGGUUAGGGAGAGGGGUGAGCUAUUAGAGCCCAGUGAGUAGAAUAAUAAAAACAUUUAAAUAUCAUAUGCCAUUAUGAAAUGCGUCACAUCACAAGUAAAUCACAUCAAGGAUGGACUUGUCACCAAUAACCCUCUACAUAUCCAACCGUGACAGGGGCGUAGAAUGGGUCUCGACCUGGACUUUCUCUUAACAUAACAUAACAUAACCAAUCAUGCCAGGGGCGUAGAAUGGGCCUCGGCCUGGACUUACAUAUCAUACAUAUCAUAUCAUCUCAUGUCAUAUGGUAUCAUAUUGAGGGCUAGAGGAUCAUUCAAUAUCCAUCCACAUCAUCAUCAUCAAAUUAUACAAUGCAACAUAUUCGUAAAUUCUAAUGCAAACAACCUAUUAUAUACAUGGCAUUCAUGAUGCAUGGGUCAUGCUAAAAACCCUUUCAUUAAUUUAAAACAUAGUUUAGUUCUACUCACCUCUAGCAGACGCUGGACUAAUUCUGAACCAGCCAACUCUGUGGGCCUCCUCAGUUUCUCGGGUCCGAUCCUACAAAGGUGGACUCAAAUGAGGGACCAAACAUACUCUAACAUAACUCUAAAUAUCUCCCCAAAAACCCCCCUAAAACAACUUAAACCUGCAUGGAAAAACAUGCAAAGGAAGGCUGGACAGGGCACUUUCAGCGGCAGGUUCGGCGGCCGAAAGUCCCUCCAGAGCCGAAACUCAGCCACUUUCGGGGGCACCUUUGGCAGCCGAAAGGGGUUCAGAGCCGAAACUCACCAACCUUCGAGGGCAGGUUCGGCGGCCGAAACUCCACGCCAGAGCCGAAAGUCCAAACUUUCGGGAGCGAGUUUAGGCAGCCAAAACAGCCUCCUCAAGGCGUUCGGCGGCCGAACAUGGCUUCGGCUGCCGAACCUGAGUUCUUUCAGAACUCAGCCUCGCACACAAGAAGCCUCCCAAGCCUUCCAAACCUCUCCAAACAUGCACAACAAGCAACCAACCUCUCAAACACAUGCAUAUACCCUUAUUCAUGCAUAUAGGGGCUUAGAACUAGCUCAAACCCCCAAAAACAACACAAAUACACACAUAUGGCUUAUGAUCAACAUAAACCCUAACCAUCAUGAUCCACUCUAAAACAUGCAUAAAACUCCCUUAAAACCCUCAAAACAUACUUAAAACAUAAGGAGAGGUGAGGAUCCAUGCUUACCUCUUGAAGAUCGAGAGGAUUGAUGGUCCAAACUCGGUGAUGUCAAGAAAACUAGAUCCGAAGUCUCCAAGCCUCAAACCUUUGCUCUUUAACUCAAAAUCUUCAAAACCAAACUAAAAACUCAUGAAAACAUGAGGGAUUUAACGAAAAAGCAUAAAAACAACCAAAGGAGAGCAUGAACUCACCUAUGCCCGAAAAGAGAGAGAAAACUCACCUCCAUUCCGGACAAAGGCCCCUUUUAUAGGUGGCCGGUCAACCACCUUCGGCGGCCAAAACUGUCUCCACAGCUCCACCACCUUCGGCAGCCUAAC